UUGGUCCCCUUCAACCGGCUG
rnacentral:miRNA from 1 species